CAGAAUUUUAAAAGAGUGGGGCAUUUUGACUCAAAUGAAGGCAAAGGGGGUUGACAUAUGGAUUCCUGAGUCUCACUUUCUAUUAGCAUCGUCUAGUUUUUGCAUUUGACUUGAGUGCAAGACUGGUGACACGAUUUCCAGGUCCCUGUGCAAAACGAAAGUGCUGGGGGCCCCUGCUCAGAAGUUAAGGUCAAGAGAGGGAGGGCGGAGCAUUAAACGGCGUGGGGGCUCCUUCCGAGCUUGGGCCUCGGUGACUGUGCAGGUCACGUGCCCAUGGGGCCUGUCCUGGCCUGGUGCGUAUUUGCGCUUACCCAUUUCAAAGUUCACAGCUCUGAGGACCUGUAAAGUCUGUAGGGAAGACGCAGCGGCUUGGGAGAGGACUGUGACCUUCGCAUAACGGGCUAGAUCUGGGCCCCGCGUGGAGGGGCCUCUGCGGGGUGGAUCCGUAAUGGAGCUUUUUUAGCCUCACUCAGCACUCUCCCUGAUUCAUCAGCGAUGAUGCUGCUGCUGCGGCCCGGCCCCGGGCCCCGUGUAGUUCACAUUAUCAUCGUAAUGAGCUGCUGCUUCUCCCGUGAAAACACUGCUCUAGCCUGGGCGUUUCCAAAACAGUGCUAGUUACCGCAUCCAGGUAGAUGGGGUCAGCCUACGACUCCCUCUUUUCCUGGCUUGUAAUAAUUAACCAUUCUAUCAGGGGACUCAGUCUAAUUGUCUUUCCUAUAAGCAGUUGGUAAUUAUGAGCACAGCGACCGGGUGAGAAAGUGGGAACACGGGAGGGCACAGCUUUCCCUAUUCUGAGCGCCUGUAUCUCCAGCAGCCGCGGGAGCGUGACAGGUGUGGGGGAACCGCGACAGCAGCAGGAUGGGGGCCCAUCCCUUCUCUACCUCAUGCCCUAGGCUUCCGCAGUGGAGGGGGGUAGUCUCAGCAGCCUUCUGACUAAUGUUCAGCGGGGGCCGUGCACCUAGAAAGUCUCCGUCUGAGGCUGCUCCCUCUUGGGAAGAGCAGAAAGUCCCAGUUGGACUUAGGAAGAAUGAAAUCCGUCCCAGGCCCCGAGCUCUCUGAAAAGUUGUUAUUAAAUUCCGCGCGUGGCCCUGACCUGGAUUUAAAGAUUUGCAAGAAGACAAAUUCCAAACAGAUGCCCAUUAGGGCCCUGACAGCCGCAGCUUAAAGAUAACAUUUACAUUC